CCUACGGGAGGCAGCAGUGAGGAAUAUUGGUCAAUGGGCGCGAGCCUGAACCAGCCAAGUCGCGUGAGGGAUGACGGUCCUACGGAUUGUAAACCUCUUUUGUCGGGGAGCAAAGGACGCCACGUGUGGCGUUUUGAGAGUACCCGAAGAAAAAGCAUCGGCUAACUCCGUGCCAGCAGCCGCGGUAAUACGGAGGAUGCGAGCGUUAUCCGGAUUUAUUGGGUUAAAAGGGUGCGCAGACGGAGGGUCAAGUCAGCGGUAAAAUUGGGGGGCUCAACCUCUGCGUGCCGUUGAAACUGGUUGCCUUGAGUGGGGGAGAGGUAGGCGGAAUGCGUGGUGUAGCGGUGAAAUGCUUAGAUAUCACGAAGAACUCCGAUUGCGAAGGCAGCUUACUAAACUGCCACUGACAUUGAUGCUCGAAAGUGUGGGUAUCAAACAGGAUUAGAUACCCGUGUAGUC
rnacentral:rRNA from 1 species